ACCUGCGGAAGGAUCAUUACCGAGUUUUCGAGCUCCGGCUCGACUCUCCCACCCUUUGUGAACGUACCUCUGUUGCUUUGGCGGCUCCGGCCGCCAAAGGACCUUCAAACUCCAGUCAGUAAACGCAGACGUCUGAUAAACAAGUUAAUAAACUAAAACUUUCAACAACGGAUCUCUUGGUUCUGGCAUCGAUGAAGAACGCAGCGAAAUGCGAUAAGUAAUGUGAAUUGCAGAAUUCAGUGAAUCAUCGAAUCUUUGAACGCACAUUGCGCCCCUUGGUAUUCCGGGGGGCAUGCCUGUUCGAGCGUCAUUACAACCCUCAAGCUCUGCUUGGAAUUGGGCACCGUCCUCACUGCGGACGCGCCUCAAAGACCUCGGCGGUGGCUGUUCAGCCCUCAAGCGUAGUAGAAUACACCUCGCUUUGGAGCGGUUGGCGUCGCCCGCCGGACGAACCUUCUGAACUUUUCUCAAGGUUGACCUCGGAUCAGGUAGGGAUACCCGCUGAACUUAAGCAUAUCAAUA
rnacentral:rRNA from 1 species